UACGAAGGGGGCUAGCGUUGCUCGGAAUCACUGGGCGUAAAGCGCACGUAGGCGGAUUGUUAAGUCGGGGGUGAAAUCCUGGAGCUCAACUCCAGAACUGCCUUCGAAACUGGCGAUCUUGAGUCCGGGAGAGGUGAGUGGAACUGCGAGUGUAGAGGUGAAAUUCGUAGAUAUUCGCAAGAACACCAGUGGCGAAGGCGGCCUUCUGGACAGUGACUGACGCUGAGACGCGAAAGCGUGGGGAGCAAACAGG
rnacentral:rRNA from 1 species